rnacentral:rRNA from 1 species
GGGUUGUGAGGUUAAGCGAAUAAGCGUACACGGUGGAUGCCUAGGCAAUCAGAGGCGAUGAAGGACGUGCUAAUCUGCGAUAAGCGUCGGUAAGGUGAUAUGAACCGUUAUACCCGACGAUUUCCGAAUGGGGAAACCCAAUAUCCAAUGGAUAUUAUCAUGACGUGAAUACAUAGCGUCAUGAAGCGAACCGGGAGAACUGAAACAUCUCAGUACCCCGAGGAAAAGAAAUCAACCGAGAUUCCCCUAGUAGCGGCGAGCGAACGGGGAACAGCCCAGAGUCUUAAUCAAUAGCAGCAUCAGGAGAACGGUCUGGAAAGUCCGGCAGUAAAGGGUGAUAGCCCCGUAUCUGAAGAUGCUGUUAUUGUGAACUCGAUGAGUAGGGCGGGACACGUGUUAUCCUGUCUGAAUAUGGGGGGACCAUCCUCCAAGGCUAAAUACUCCUGAUUGACCGAUAGUGAACCAGUACCGUGAGGGAAAGGCGAAAAGAACCCCGGCGAGGGGAGUGAAAAAGAACCUGAAACCGUGUACGUACAAGCAGUAGGAGCCUCUUUAUGGGGUGACUGCGUACCUUUUGUAUAAUGGGUCAGCGACUUAUAUUCUGUAGCAAGGUUAACCGUAUAGGGGAGCCGUAGGGAAACCGAGUCUUAACUGGGCGAAUGAGUUGCAGGGUAUAGACCCGAAACCCGGUGAUCUAUCCAUGGGCAGGUUGAAGGUUGGGUAACACUAACUGGAGGACCGAACCGACUAAUGUUGAAAAAUUAGCGGAUGACUUGUGGAUGGGGGUGAAAGGCCAAUCAAACCGGGAGAUAGCUGGUUCUCCCCGAAAGCUAUUUAGGUAGCGCCUCGUGAACUCAUCUUCGGGGGUAGAGCACUGUUUCGACUAGGGGGUCAUCCCGACUUACCAACUCGAUGCAAACUGCGAAUACCGAAGAAUGUUAUCACGGGAGACACACGGCGGGUGCUAACGUCCGUCGUGAAGAGGGAAACAACCCAGACCGCCAGCUAAGGUCCCAAAGUCAUGGUUAAGUGGGAAACGAAGUGGGAAGGCUCAGACAGCCAGGAUGUUGGCUUAGAAGCAGCCAUCAUUUAAAGAAAGCGUAAUAGCUCACUGGUCGAGUCGGCCCGCGCGGAAGAUGUAACGGGGCUAAACCAUGCACCGAAGCUGCGGCAGCGACACUAUGUGUUGUUGGGUAGGGGAGCGUUCUGUAAGCCUGCGAAGGUGUACUGUGAGGUAUGCUGGAGGUAUCAGAAGUGCGAAUGCUGACAUAAGUAACGAUAAUGCGGGUGAAAAACCCGCACGCCGGAAGACCAAGGGUUCCUGUCCAACGUUAAUCGGGGCAGGGUGAGUCGACCCCUAAGGCGAGGCUGAAAAGCGUAGUCGAUGGGAAACGGGUUAAUAUUCCCGUACUGGUGGUAACUGCGAUGGGGGAACGGAGAAGGCUAGGUUGUCCGGGCGACGGUCGUCCCGGUUCAAGCAUGUAGGCAGAGUGAUUAGGCAAAUCCGGUCACUUAAUGCUGAGGUGUGAUGACGAGCCACUAAGGUGGUGAAGCAAUUGAUGCCCUGCUUCCAGGAAAAGCCUCUAAGCUUCAGGUUACCAACAAUCGUACCCCAAACCGACACAGGUGGUCAGGUAGAGAAUACUCAGGCGCUUGAGAGAACUCGGGUGAAGGAACUAGGCAAAAUGGUGCCGUAACUUCGGGAGAAGGCACGCUGGCGGUAAGUGAAGUCCCUCGCGGACGGAGCCGAAGCCAGUCGAAGAUACCAGCUGGCUGCAACUGUUUAUUAAAAACACAGCACUGUGCAAACACGAAAGUGGACGUAUACGGUGUGACGCCUGCCCGGUGCUGGAAGGUUAAUUGAUGGGGUUAUCCGUAAGGAGAAGCUCUUGAUCGAAGCCCCAGUAAACGGCGGCCGUAACUAUAACGGUCCUAAGGUAGCGAAAUUCCUUGUCGGGUAAGUUCCGACCUGCACGAAUGGCGUAAUGAUGGCCAGGCUGUCUCCACCCGAGACUCAGUGAAAUUGAACUCGCUGUGAAGAUGCAGUGUACCCGCGGCAAGACGGAAAGACCCCGUGAACCUUUACUAUAGCUUGACACUGAACAUUGAGCCUUGAUGUGUAGGAUAGGUGGGAGACUUUGAAGUGUGGACGCCAGUCUGCAUGGAGUCAACCUUGAAAUACCACCCUUUAACGUUUGAUGUUCUAACCUAGGUCCAUAAUCUGGAUCGGGGACCGUGUCUGGUGGGUAGUUUGACUGGGGCGGUCUCCUCCUAAAGAGUAACGGAGGAGCACGAAGGUUGGCUAAGCAUGGUCGGACAUCAUGCGGUUAGUGCAAAGGCAUAAGCCAGCUUGACUGUGAGAGUGACGGCUCGAGCAGGUACGAAAGUAGGUCUUAGUGAUCCGGUGGUUCUGAAUGGAAGGGCCAUCGCUCAACGGAUAAAAGGUACUCCGGGGAUAACAGGCUGAUACCGCCCAAGAGUUCAUAUCGACGGCGGUGUUUGGCACCUCGAUGUCGGCUCAUCACAUCCUGGGGCUGAAGUAGGUCCCAAGGGUAUGGCUGUUCGCCAUUUAAAGUGGUACGCGAGCUGGGUUUAGAACGUCGUGAGACAGUUCGGUCCCUAUCUGCCGUGGGCGUUGGAAGAUUGAGAGGGGUUGCUCCUAGUACGAGAGGACCGGAGUGAACGCACCACUGGUGUUCGGGUUGUCAUGCCAAUGGCAUUGCCCGGUAGCUAAGUGCGGAAGAGAUAACCGCUGAAAGCAUCUAAGCGGGAAACUUGCCUCGAGAUGAGUCUUCCCUGUCACCUUGAGUGACCUAAAGGAACGUUUAAGACUAAGACGUUGAUAGGCUGGGUGUGUAAGCGUAGCGAUACGUUGAGCUAACCAGUACUAAUGAACCGUGAGGCUUAACCUGACAACACCGAAGGUGUUU